rnacentral:rRNA from 1 species
GGUCAAGCUACGAAGGGCUCACGGUGGAUACCUUGGCACACAGAGGCGAUGA